AGCGACUAAGCGUACACGGUGGAUGCCCUGGCAGUCAGAGGCGAUGAAGGGCGUGCUAAUCUGCGAUAAGCGCCGGUAAGGUGAUAUGAACCGUUAUAACCGGCGAUACCCGAAUGGGGAAACCCAGUGUGACUCGUCACACUAUCAUUAACUGAAUCCAUAGGUUAAUGAGGCGAACCGGGGGAACUGAAACAUCUAAGUACCCCGAGGAAAAGAAAUCAACCGAGAUUCCCCCAGUAGCGGCGAGCGAACGGGGAGGAGCCCAGAGCCUGAAUCAGCAUGUGUGUUAGUGGAAGCGUCUGGAAAGGCGCGCGAUACAGGGUGACAGCCCCGUACACAAAAGCGCAUGUGCUGUGAGCUCGAUGAGUAGGGCGGGACACGUGGUAUCCUGUCUGAAUAUGGGGGGACCAUCCUCCAAGGCUAAAUACUCCUGACUGACCGAUAGUGAACCAGUACCGUGAGGGAAAGGCGAAAAGAACCCCGGCGAGGGGAGUGAAAAAGAACCUGAAACCGUGUACGUACAAGCAGUGGGAGCACCCUUUGGGUGUGACUGCGUACCUUUUGUAUAAUGGGUCAGCGACUUAUAUUCUGUAGCAAGGUUAACCGAAUAGGGGAGCCGGAGGGAAACCGAGUCUUAAUUGGGCGUUAAGUUGCAGGGUAUAGACCCGAAACCCGGUGAUCUAGCCAUGGGCAGGUUGAAGGUUGGGUAACACUAACUGGAGGACCGAACCGACUAAUGUUGAAAAAUUAGCGGAUGACCUGUGGCUGGGGGUGAAAGGCCAAUCAAACCGGGAGAUAGCUGGUUCUCCCCGAAAGCUAUUUAGGUAGCGCCUCGUGAAUUCAUCUCCGGGGGUAGAGCACUGUUUCGGCUAGGGGGCCAUCCCGGCUUACCAACCCGAUGCAAACUGCGAAUACCGGAGAAUGUUAUCACGGGAGACACACGGCGGGUGCUAACGUCCGUCGUGAAGAGGGAAACAACCCAGACCGCCAGCUAAGGUCCCAAAGUCAUGGUUAAGUGGGAAACGAUGUGGGAAGGCCCAGACAGCCAGGAUGUUGGCUUAGAAGCAGCCAUCAUUUAAAGAAAGCGUAAUAGCUCACUGGUCGAGUCGGCCUGCGCGGAAGAUGUAACGGGGCUAAACCAUGCACCGAAGCUGCGGCAGCGACACUGUGUGUUGUUGGGUA
rnacentral:rRNA from 1 species